rnacentral:rRNA from 1 species
GACGUAGGGCGCGAGCGUGUCCGGAUUUAUUGGGCGUAAAGAGCUCGCAGGCGGCUUGUCGCGUCGAAUGUGAAAACUCGGGGCUCAACUCCGAGCUUGCAUUCGAUACGGGCAGGCUAGAGUUCGGUAGGGGAGACUGGAAUUCCUGGUGUAGCGGUGAAAUGCGCAGAUAUCAGGAGGAACACCGAUGGCGAAGGCAGGUCUCUGGGCAUUAACUGACGCUGAGGAGCGAAAGCAUGGGGAGCGAACAGG